rnacentral:misc_RNA from 1 species
GAUGAAGAACGUAGCGAAACGCGAUAAGUAAUGUGAAUUGCAGAAUCCAGUGAAUCAUCGAAUCUUUGAACGCACAUUGCGCCCGCCAGCAUUCUGGCGGGCAUGCCUGUUCGAGCGUCAUUUCAACCCUCGACCUCCCCUUGGGGAGGUCGGCGUUGGGGACCGGCAGCACACCGCCGGCCCUGAAAUGGAGUGGCGGCCCGUCCGCGGCGACCUCUGCGCAGUAAUACAGCUCGCACCGGGACCCCGACGCGGCCACGCCGUAAAACACCCAACUUCUGAACGUUGACCUCGAAUCAGGUAGGACUACCCGCUGAACUUAAGCAUAUCAAUAAGCGGAGG